rnacentral:rRNA from 1 species
GAUGAACGCUGGCGGCGUGCCUAAUACAUGCAAGUCGAGCGAACAGACGAGGAGCUUGCUCCUCUGACGUUAGCGGCGGACGGGUGAGUAACACGCGGAUAACCUACCUAUAAGACUGGGAUAACUUCGGGAAACCGGAGCUAAUACCGGAUAAUAUAUUGAACCGCAUGGUUCAAUAGUGAAAGACGGUUUUGCUGUCACUUAUAGAUGGAUCCGCGCCGCAUUAGCUAGUUGGUAAGGUAACGGCUUACCAAGGCAACGAUGCGUAGCCGACCUGAGAGGGUGAGCGGCCACACUGGAACUGAGACACGGUCCAGACUCCUACGGGAGGCAGCAGUAGGGAAUCUUCCGCAAUGGGCGAAAGCUUGACGGGGCAACGCCGCGUGAGUGAUGAAGGUCUUCGGAUCGUAAAACUCUGUUAUUAGGGAAGAACAAAUGUGUAAGUAACUAUGCACGUCUUGACGGUACCUAAUCAGAAAGCCACGGCUAACUACGUG